AAGCUGUUAGAUGGAUAGCUUGGCUUUGGUAGAUGAUGAAAGACGUGGCAAGCUGCGAUAAGCCUAGGGUAGCUGCACGCAAGCUUUGAUCCUAGGAUCUCUGAAUAAUACCGAGAGGUAUAGCUACGCCGGGAAUUGAAACAUCUUAGUACCGGCAGGAAAAGAAAACAAAUAGUGAUUCCCUUAGUAGCAGCGAGCGAAAAGGGAAAAGGACAAACCGAAUCUCCUUGCGAAAGUAAGGUAGAGAUGUGGUGAGAGAUAAGCCUAAGUUACUGAGUCGAAAUUGCCUGGAACGGCAUCCCAAAGAGGGUGAUAGGCCCGUAGACUAAAGUAAUAUGGCGUUCUCUCAAAAGAGUAGGGCGCCCUGGAUUGGGCGUCUGAAUAUAGCAGGAUUAACUGCUAAUCCUAAAUAUAACCAAAGUCCGAUAGUGCACUAGUACCGCGAGGGAAAGCUGAAAAGAACCCUUAGCAGGGAGUGAAAUAGACAUGAAAUCUAACAGCGACAGAUUGUUACUGCUCUCUACAGUUUUGCUGUAGAGGGUUGUAACGUACGUUUUGAAGAACGGGCCAGGGAGUUUAUCUAAGUGGCGAAGCUAAUCUCAUAAAGAGAGUAACUGAAGCGAAAGCAAGUCUGAAAGGGCGUUAGUCACUUGGAUAAGACCCGAAGCCAGGUGAUCUAUUCAUGGGCAAGGCGAAGUCUUCCGAAAGGAGGAUGGAGGCCUGAACCAGUGUUGUGGACAUGCACUUGGAUGACCUGUGAAUAGGGGUGAAAUGCCUAUCUAACCUGGCGAUGGCUGGUUCCUGCUGAAAUAUGCCUUCGUAUAGUCUUCUUGUGCUUGUUAGCGGUGUAAAGUACGGAUGAGACUUGCAGGGGCUAAUGCCUACGGAGUCUUUUCCAACUCAGAAACUGCUAACUGCAUACAAGAAGAAACAGGGGCGGUAUGUAAGAUACUGUUCCGAGACCGGAACAACGGAGACCAGAGUUAAGGUCCCUAAAUCUAUGCUAAGUGUAUCGAACUCUGUCGAAAAUCUGAGACAGUAGGGAUGUAGGCUUAGAAGCAGCCACCAUUUAAAGAAAGCGUAACAGCUCACCUAUCGAGAUUUUCGGCGAGGAAAAUGGACGGGGCUAAGCAUAGUACCGAGACUCUGGCGGAGCUCGAUUAGAGCUUUCGGGUAAGCAGGCGUGGUUUUUGCUGAGAAGCUUCUUCUAAAGAAGGAGUGGAGCGAAAACCAGUGAGAAUCCUGGUGGUAGUAGGAGGAGAUUUUCCUGAGAAUGGAAAACGCCGAAAGGGCAAGGUUUCCUUGGCAAUAUAAGUUAGCCAAGGGUUAGUCAGCACCUAAGUUGUACCUUAACAGAGUACAACGAUGGAUAACAGGUUAAUAUUCCUGUACUAACUAAACCUUGUAGCAUGUUUUGCUUUUGGAUAUGGACACAUCCGAGAGGGUGUUCUGAAAAAGAAAGUUAGGGAGCGUAAUGCUUAGAUCUCACUGAAUUUUUCAGAGGAAUACGUCCUGAGUCCAAGAGCCCGUGAAAAGACAUGCUACUUAAAGUUUAGUUAGCUGUACCCAUAACCGACACUGGUGCCCUAGCUGAGAAGGCUAAGGCGUGAAAGGUCAAACCAACCAAGGGAACUCGGCAAAUUAGUCCUGUAGCUUCGGCAGAAGGGAUGUCUAUAAAUGUCUCUUUAGAAAUAGAGAGGCAUUUGUAGAUCUCAGUAACAAGGAUGGCCCGACUGUUUACCAAAAACGUAGCUGGGUGCAAAUCCGAAAGGACUAGUAUACCCAGUGAGACCUGCCCAGUGGUGGUGUGUCAAACUCCUUUUCAAGGGAGCUAAGCCCCAUCAAACGGCGGGGGUAACUAUGACCCUCUUAAGGUAGCGUAAUGCCUUGUCGUCUGAAUGGCGACGUGCAUGAAUGGUUUAACGAGGUUGUCACUGUCCCUGGUUGGAGCCUUCUGAACACACCUCGUGGUGAAAAGGCCACGGACACCUAGUGGGAAGCGAAGACCUUGUGGAACUUUACUGCAACCUGUUGUUGUAAUUUUAAACAAGAUGCAUAGAAUAGGUAGGAGCGUAGAUCUGCUGAUUUCGGUCAGCAGGGAGCAAAAGUGUAAUACUACCCAUUUUGUUUAAAAUUGCUUACUUCAUUAGAAGGACAGCAGCAGGCGGGCAGUUUGGCUGGGGCGGCGCCCUGUCGAAAAAAUAUCGAUAGGAACCAAAGACAAGCUCAUCCGGCUUGGAAACCCGGAGUUGAGUUCAAGGGCAAAAGCUUGUCUGACUGCAUUCUGAAAAGCAAGGAAUGCAGGAGUGAAAGCUGGGCCUAGUGAACCCACGUGCUCUUUUAAUAGGAGCCGUGUCUGAUAGAAAAGUUACCCCAAGGAUAACAGGCUUGUCGCGCCCGAUAGCUCACAUUGACGGCGCGGUUUGGUACAUCGCUGUCGGCUCUUCCUAUCCUAGCUGUGCAGAAGCAGCUAAGGGUGUCGGAGUUCACGCAUUAAAAGGGAUCGUUAGCUGGGUUAAGAACGUCGCGAGACAGUUUGUAUGAUAUCUACUAGGUGUGGUAAUUGUCUGAGUGGAACGAACCCGUAGUACGAGAGGAACCGGGUUCGGGUGCCUCUGGUGAGCAGUUGUCAUCUGGCAGGCUGCAUAGCUACGCACCAAGUGGAUAAGAGCUGAAUGCAUCUAAGCUCGAAGCCACCCGCAAAACGAGACAAUAGAGGCCGUCGUAGAACACGACGUCGAUAGAGUUGGGGUGUAAGACACAAGCUUCGGCGAGUGUUUCAGCCCACAACUACUAAAAGCCCAAA
rnacentral:rRNA from 1 species